rnacentral:tRNA from 1 species
GCCUGAAUAGCUCAGCUGGUAAGAGCGCGACAUUGGUAAUGUCGAGGUCGGGAGUUCAAAUCUCCCUUCAGGCU